GACGAACGCUGGCGGCGUGCUUAACACAUGCAAGUCGAACGGGCCCGCCCCUGUUUUUGGGGGUGGGUUGAGUGGCGAACGGGUGAGUAUCACGUGAGUAACCUGCCCCCUGCUCCUGGAUAACUGCUUGAAAGGGCGGCUAAUACGGGGUGUGCCGGCUGGUCCGCAUGGGCCUGGUCGGGAUAGUUUCAUCUUCGGGUGUUUCGGUGGGGGAUGGGCUCGCGGCCUAUCAGCUUGUUGGUGGGGUGAUGGCCCACCAAGGCGGUGACGGGUAGCCGGCCUGAGAGGGUGGGCGGCCACACUGGGACUGAGACACGGCCCAGACUCCUGCGGGAGGCAGCAGUGGGGGGUAUUGCACAAUGGGCGGAAGCCUGAUGCAGCGACGUCGCGUGAGGGAUGGAGGCCUUCGGGUUGUGAACCUCUUUCUCCGGUGGUGAAGGCCCUGUCCGUUGCGGCGGGGCUGACGGUAGCCGGGUAUGAAGCGCCGGCUAACUACGUG
rnacentral:rRNA from 1 species